rnacentral:lncRNA from 1 species
CGACGCGCACCAAGAAGAAACUUGUGUCCAAUAUUCAAGAAGGAAAUGUGAGUUUGACAAAAAGAUGUGGAUCGAACAUCUCGAAGUUGAAACCACACAAAAAUGUCUGUCAUUGUGAUAUCGGUGUUUGGUUGCGAGGAAGAGCACUGUGUCUCUAUCAGUCAGUAAGUCACAUUGUGCACAGGGUUCACAAAACCGAUUAGUUUUCACGAAAACUAGUCGGUUUGUGAAAACCAAUCCAAUCAAUUUUAUCUGGUUUUCGUACGACAUUGAUUGAAAAUUGUUGGCUUCUAUUGGUUUUCAGUUGGUUUUCGAUAACCCGAUGAGGAGCGAUUUUCUACUCGAAAACGGAAAGGUAAACCCGG